GAUGAACGCUAGCGGCAGGCCUAACACAUGCAAGUCGAGGGGUAGAACACUUCGGUGUUUGAGACCGGCGCACGGGUGCGUAACGCGUAUGCAAUCUACCUUAUACAGGGGAAUAGCCCAGAGAAAUUUGGAUUAAUGCCCUAUAGCAUUACGACUUGGCAUCAAGAUGUAAUUAAAGUUCCAACGGUAUAAGAUGAGGAUGCGUCCCAUUAGUUAGUUGGUAAGGUAACGGCUUACCAAGACGAUGAUGGGUAGGGGUCCGGAGAGGGAGAUACCCCACACUGGUACUGAGACACGGACCAGACUCCUACGGGAGGCAGAAGUGAGGAAUAUUGGUCAAUGGCCGCAAGACUGAACCAGCCGUGCCGCGUGCAGGAAGACGGUCCUAUGAAUUGUAAACUGCUUUUAUACAGGAAGAAACCCUCCCACGUGUGGGAGCUUGACGGUACUGUAGGAAUAAGGAUCGGCUAACUCCGUGCCAGCCGCCGCAGUAA
rnacentral:rRNA from 1 species